CAGCAGCCGCGGUAACACGAAGGGGGCUAGCGUUGUUCGGAUUUACUGGGCGUAAAGGGCGCGUAGGCGGGCCGAUAAGUCAGGGGUGAAAUCCCAAGGCUCAACCUUGGAACUGCCUUUGAUACUGGCUGUCUUGAGUAUGGGAGAGGUGAGUGGAACUCCGAGUGUAGAGGUGAAAUUCGUAGAUAUUCGGAAGAACACCAGUGGCGAAGGCGACUGACUGGACAAGUAUUGACGCUGAGGUGCGAAAGCGUGGGGAGCAAACAGGAUUAGAUACCCCUGUAGUCCCUGUCUCUUAUAC
rnacentral:rRNA from 1 species